UGAGGAAUUUUCCGCAAUGGACGAAAGUCUGACGGAGCGACGCCGUGUGUGUGAUGAAGUCUUUCGGGAUGUAAAACACUGUCGAGGGGGACGAUAUUGACGGUACCCCUGGAGGAAGCCCCGGCUAACUACGUGCCAGCAGCCGCGGUAAUACGUAGGGGGCGAGCGUUGUCCGGAAUUAUUGGGCGUAAAGGGCGUGUAGGCGGUUCCGUAAGUUGGUUGUUAAAGGUAUGGGCUCAACUCAUACAUCGCAUCCAAUACUGCGGUUCUGGAGAUUGGUAGAGGAAAAUGGAACUUCCGGUGUAGCGGUGAAAUGCGUAGAUAUCGGAAGGAACACCAGUGGCGAAGGCGAUUUUCUGGGCCAAUUCUGACGCUGAGGCGCGAAAGCUAAGGGAGCAAACAGG
rnacentral:rRNA from 1 species